AGGAUGAACGCUGGCGGCGUGCUUAACACAUGCAAGUCGAACGAUGAAGCAGAGCUUGCUCUGUGGAUUAGUGGCGAACGGGUGAGUAACACGUGAGUAACCUGCCCUUGACUCUGGAAUAAGCGUUGGAAACGACGUCUAAUACCGGAUACGAGCUUCCGCCGCAUGGUGAGGAGCUGGAAAGAAUUUCGGCCAAGGAUGGACUCGCGGCCUAUCAGGUAGUUGGUGAGGUAAUGGCUCACCAAGCCUACGACGGUAGCCGGCCUGAGAGGGUGACCGGCCACA
rnacentral:rRNA from 1 species